UGCUAUGGCGGUUGUGCGUGGGGCACAUUCGUGUGCGCCGGGUUCCUAGAGUCCCGGUCUGUCAACCUGCGCACAACUGCCACCCCG
rnacentral:antisense_RNA from 1 species